GCUUCGGUGGCGGAGUGGUUCCGCAUCUACGGUUGAUCGUUUGUGCUCUUGUAGACGUCGUGUGUUCGAUUCACACCUGAAGCA